UACAGAGGUCUCAAGCGUUGUUCGGAUUCAUUGGGCGUAAAGGGUGCGUAGGUGGCGCCGUAAGUCAGGUGUGAAAUUUCGGAGCUUAACUCCGAAACUGCAUUUGAUACUGCGGUGCUUGAGGACUGGAGAGGAGACUGGAAUUUACGGUGUAGCAGUGAAAUGCGUAGAGAUGUGGAGGAACACCGAUGGCGAAGGCAGCCCCCUGGGCCGACACUGACGCUCAGGCACGAAAGCGUGGGGAGCAAACAGG
rnacentral:rRNA from 1 species